UGGGGAAUUUUGGACAAUGGGCGCAAGCCUGAUCCAGCAAUGCCGCGUGCAGGAUGAAGGCCUUCGGGUUGUAAACUGCUUUUGUACGGAACGAAAAGCCUCUCUCUAAUACAGGGGGGUGAUGACGGUACCGUAAGAAUAAGCACCGGCUAACUACGUGCCAGCAGCCGCGGUAAUACGUAGGGUGCAAGCGUUAAUCGGAAUUACUGGGCGUAAAGCGUGCGCAGGCGGUUUUGUAAGACAGUGGUGAAAUCCCCGGGCUCAACCUGGGAACUGCCAUUGUGACUGCAAGGCUGGAGUGCGGCAGAGGGGGAUGGAAUUCCGCGUGUAGCAGUGAAAUGCGUAGAUAUGCGGAGGAACACCGAUGGCGAAGGCAAUCCCCUGGGCCUGCACUGACGCUCAUGCAUGAAAGCGUGGGGAGCAAACAGGAUUAGAUACCCUGGUAGUCCACGCCCUAAACGAUGUCAACUGGUUGUU
rnacentral:rRNA from 1 species